GACGAACGCUGGCGGCGUGCUUAACACAUGCAAGUCGAACGCUGAAGCUCAGCUUUUGUUGGGUGGAUGAGUGGCGAACGGGUGAGUAACACGUGAGUAACCUGCCUCCUUCUUUGGGAUAACGCCCGGAAACGGGUGCUAAUACUGGAUAUUCACUGGUCUUCGCAUGGGGGUUGGUGGAAAGGGUUUUUCUGGUGGGGGAUGGGCUCGCGGCCUAUCAGCUUGUUGGUGGGGUGAUGGCCUACCAAGGCUUUGACGGGUAGCCGGCCUGAGAGGGUGACCGGUAACAUUGGGACUGAGAUACGGCCCAGACUCCUACGGGAGGCAGCAGUGGGGAAUAUUGAACAAUGGGCGAAAGCGUGAUGCAGCGACGCCGCGUGAGGGAUGGAGGCCUUCGGGUUGUGAACCUCUUUCGCUAAUGGUCAAGCCGCAACAAUGGUUGUGGUGAGGGUAGUGGGUAAAGAAGCGCCGGCUAACUACGUG
rnacentral:rRNA from 1 species